AAUGACCGGUCGGACACCGACGUGCCCGGCCCACAAGUGGAGGCUCCGAACUCCCACCUGACCGCCCUAGCGGGCGGCGGGUCACCGGUCAGGCGACGCGCCCUCGAGGCGUUCGCCCGAUGCGCCCCGCUGUCACGCGACGGUGCUCCGGUAGUGCAAGGAGCCCCGCAUGUGAUCGUCCGGGGCAUUUUUC
rnacentral:ncRNA from 1 species